GAUAGUGUGGUGUAGUGGUUUGAGUGCUGGACUGUGACUCUGGAGACCAGGGCUUGAAUCCAUGUUCAAUCA